UACGAAGGGGGCUAGCGUUGCUCGGAAUCACUGGGCGUAAAGCGCACGUAGGCGGCUUUCUAAGUCAGGGGUGAAAUCCUGGAGCUCAACUCCAGAACUGCCUUUGAUACUGGAGUGCUUGAGUCCGGGAGAGGUGAGUGGAACUCCGAGUGUAGAGGUGAAAUUCGUAGAUAUUCGGAAGAACACCAGUGGCGAAGGCGGCUCACUGGGCCCGGUACUGACGCUGAGGUGCGAAAGCGUGGGGAGCAAACAGGAUUAAGAAACCCU
rnacentral:rRNA from 1 species